GCUCCAAUAGCGUAUAUUAAAGUUGUUGCGGUUAAAAAGCUCGUAGUUGGAUUUCUGUCUAAAGCGGCCGGUCUCCACUAUGUGGGUGUAUCUGGUUCGGUUUGGGCAUCCUCUUGGGGAACGGUUCUGCGCUUGAUUGCGUGGGCCGGAAUUCAAGACUUUUACUUUGAGGAAAUUAGAGUGUUCACGGCAAGCUAUCG
rnacentral:rRNA from 1 species